rnacentral:tRNA from 1 species
GUGUCUGAAGCCAAAGUGGUUGCGGCGCUUGUUUGUGGAACAAGUAAUUAGCGGGUUCAAGCCCCGUCAGACACCC